rnacentral:lncRNA from 1 species
GGAAACUGUAACUGCAAAGAAGAAACUGUAGCAGAAAACAGCUUGGCCAGUGACAGAAAGAGCCAUGAACAACAGCUGGCCAGAAAACCGAAGGAAUAAAAUAAGUGUCCAGUGAAAAUGAAAAAAAAAAAAGUUAUUGGGUCCGAUGCUACACAAAGAAUGAGAACCAGAUCCACGCACGCAAGCUCCCCACACACACAUCUGGCACCCUCUUACGGAUGCUGUCAUUGUGUGAGCGGUAAUGCUCAGCUUUCAAUGUGAGGAUUAGAAGCCAUUAAUUCCUGGAAUUGUUCUCUGGAGUGUAAGUGACAACAGCUGUAGCUAUCUGCUCAGUGUCUUUCCACAUGGACUCCCCUGUACAAGGGACGCAUGAAUACACACAGCCAAAUGGGGUGCUGCCGAUUCCACGUGGGAGCAAAGACAGGCCUGCCACCAACUGACAGACAGACAGUCCCAAAGCAAUCAUCUGGACACUCGAGAAAAUGGCCUUAGUCCUGAUUCCCCUCUCUCUUACCCAUUCUCAGGCAGGCACAGGCGGAGAGAGGGAGACUUUCCCAUUUGCUCUGAUUAUGGAGAGGCCCUUUGAAAGUAUCACUCUGUCCUCACAAAGGGCUAAGUUUCACGUUAAUCCAAAUCUAACCUCUCUCAGCCUCAAUUUCCCCAUCUGAAAUGAGGAACUGGAUUAGUCAUCUCAAGGGGUCUUUCUGGCCUUUCAAAUACAAAGCAAACUAACAGAUAAAAUCUCCUUUCCUCUAUCAUCAGGGCUGGGCUCAGUUAAAACUCAGAAUGAA